CAAAAGUAUAAUAUUGAUGCUAAAAAUAUUGAAAGUAUGUGCAAUAAAAAAGAUGACCUCGGCAUAUGAAGCUCCAAGAAAGCUUAAAUAAUUAGAUGAAAUCAACACUUCUUAUAACCCUUUUAUUGGCAAUGACCAUUCUUCAAGUGGUGUUCUCCACAUCUACAAGUAGCCAAAGUACCACUACGGCUACGCCUGCGGGUACUCCUUCUCUUACUAAUGCUCCUACUACUACGCCAGCAAACAACACAGCAGGAGGAGGCGGGGCAGACGCCGUGUCGCUAAGCUACUACAUGUUUGCUUUGACAAUACUUGGUGCAUAUUUCAUUCAGUUGUUAGAGCACUAACUACAUUCAAAUAAGAGUGAUGGCCUAUGAUCUUCCAAGGGAGGCAAAUCCAACAUUUUAUGUUUUGUGAAACUGUAAUAUUACAUAAAGUAUUUAAUGAAUAUUACUCUAUUAUUUACAUAUGAUUUAUGAUUGCAAGUUUGUAAUAUUGAUUGCUAAGUGGUUUAUUUCGAAUUUAAUGUUGUUUUUGUUUUUUGAGAAUUAUAUUUACAAUCAACAACAUUUUACAUGUACAUGUUAAAUUAUUAGGUAUAGUUAUUUAUGACAAGCUAGUAAAAGAAAAAGAAAA